GGGCCCGCACAAGCGGUGGAGUAUGUGGUUUAAUUCGAUGCAACGCGAAGAACCUUACCAGGGUUUGACAUCCUGCGAAUCUCUUGGAAACAGGAGAGUGCCUUCGGGAACGCAGUGACAGGUGGUGCAUGGCUGUCGUCAGCUCGUGUCGUGAGAUGUUGGGUUAAGUCCCGCAACGAGCGCAACCCACGUCUUUAGUUGCCAGCAUUUAGUUGGGCACUCUAGAGAGACCGCCGGUGAUAAACCGGAGGAAGGUGUGGAUGACGUCAAGUCAUCAUGCCCCUUACAUCCUGGGCUACACACGUACUACAAUGCUACGGACAAAGAGCAGCAAGUUCGCGAGGACAAGCAAAA
rnacentral:rRNA from 1 species